rnacentral:rRNA from 1 species
UGGGGAAUAUUGGACAAUGGGCGAAAGCCUGAUCCAGCCAUGCCGCGUGUGUGAAGAAGGUCUUCGGAUUGUAAAGCACUUUAAAUUGGGAGGAAGGGCAGUUACCUAAUACGUGAUUGUUUUGACGUUACCGACAGAAUAAGCACCGGCUAACUCUGUGCCAGCAGCCGCGGUAAUACAGAGGGUGCAAGCGUUAAUCGGAAUUACUGGGCGUAAAGCGCGCGUAGGUGGUUAGUUAAGUUGGAUGUGAAAUCCCCGGGCUCAACCUGGGAACUGCAUUCAAAACUGACUGACUAGAGUAUGGUAGAGGGUGUGGAACUUCCUGUGUAGCGGUGAAAUGCGUAGAUAUAGGAAGGAACACCAGUGGCAAGGCGACCACCUGGACUGAUACUGACACUGAGGUGCGAAAGCGUGGGGA